rnacentral:rRNA from 1 species
GAUGAACGCUAGCGAUAGGCCUAACACAUGCAAGUCGAGGGGCAGCACAUGAGUAGCAAUACGAUGGUGGCGACCGGCGCACGGGUGAGUAACACGUAUGCAACCUACCUCUAACAGGGGGAUAACCCGUUGAAAGACGGACUAAUACCCCAUAAUACAGGGGCUCCGCAUGGAGAUAUUUGUUAAAGAUUUUAUCGGUUAGAGAUGGGCAUGCGUUCCAUUAGCUAGUUGGUGAGGUAACGGCUCACCAAGGCGACGAUGGAUAGGGGAACUGAGAGGUUUAUCCCCCAACUGGAACUGAGACACGGUCCAGACUCCUACGGGAGCAGCAGUGAGGAAUAUUGGUCAAUGGGAGGCAACUCUGAACCAGCCAAGUCGCGUGAAGGAUGAAGGUCUUAUGGAUUGUAAACUUCUUUUGCAGGGGAAUAAAUAGCGGUACGUGUACCGUUUUGCUAUGUACCCUGCGAAUAAGGAUCGGCUAACUCCGUGCCAGCAGACCCGG